rnacentral:rRNA from 1 species
UACGUAGGGUGCGAGCGUUAUUCGGAAUUACUGGGCGUAAAGUGUGCGCAGGCGGCAGAGCAAGUCGAGUGUGAAAGCCCCGGGCUUAACUUGGGAAUUGCGCUCGAAACUACUUUGCUGGAGUGUGGCAGAGGAAGGUGGAACUCCACGUGUAGCGGUGAAAUGCGUAGAGAUGUGGAGGAACACCAAUGGCGAAGGCAGCCUUCUGGGCCAACACUGACGCUCAUGCACGAAAGCGUGGGGAGCAAACAGG